rnacentral:rRNA from 1 species
CAGUAGCCGCGGGAAUACCGAGGGUGCGAGCGUUAAUCGGAUUUACUGGGCGUAAAGCGUGCGUAGGCGGCUUUUCAAGUCGGAUGUGAAAUCCCUGAGCUUAACUUAGGAAUUGCAUUCGAUACUGGGAAGCUAGAGUAUGGGAGAGGAUGGUAGAAUUCCAGGUGUAGCGGUGAAAUGCGUAGAGAUCUGGAGGAAUACCGAUGGCGAAGGCAGCCAUCUGGCCUAAUACUGACGCUGAGGUACGAAAGCAUGGGGAGCAAACAGGAUUAGAUACCCGAGUAGUCCCUGUCUCUUAUAC